rnacentral:rRNA from 1 species
UACGUAGGGUGCAAGCGUUAUUCGGAAUUACUGGGCGUAAAGCGCGCGUAGGCGGUUUUGUACGUCAGUUGUGAAAUCCCCGGGCUCGACCUGGGAACUGCAUCUGUGACUGGAACGCUGGAGUGCGGCAGAGGGGGAUGGAAUUCCGCGUGUAGCAGUGAAAUGCGUAGAGAUGUGGAGGAACACCGAUGGCGAAGGCAGCCCCCUGGGUCAAAACUGACGCUCAUGCACGAAAGCGUGGGGAGCAAACAGG